rnacentral:rRNA from 1 species
GACGAACGCUGGCGGCGUGCUUAACACAUGCAAGUCGAACGAUGAAGCUGGAGCUUGCUCCGGUGGAUUAGUGGCGAACGGGUGAGUAACACGUGAGCAAUCUGCCCUUCACUCUGGGAUAACUGCGGGAAACUGUAGCUAAUACCGGAUACGAGACCUUGGGGCAUCCCAGGGUCUGGAAAGAAUUUCGGUGAAGGAUGAGCUCGCGGCCUAUCAGCUAGUUGGUGAGGUAAUGGCUCACCAAGGCGACGACGGUUAGCCGGCCUGAGAGGGUGACCGGCCACACUGGGACUGAGACACGGCCCAGACUCCUACGGGAGGCAGCAGUGGGGAAUAUUGCACAAUGGGCGAAAGCCUGAUGCAGCAACGCCGCGUGAGGGAUGAAGGCCUUCGGGUUGUAAACCUCUUUUAGUAGGGAAGAAGCGCAAGUGACGGUACCUACAGAAGAAGCACCGGCUAACUACGUGCCAGCAGCCGCCGUAA